AACAAGUUUAUAAUUUAGGUAAUUGUUCCAUACUUUACAUUCCCAAUACCUACAAUAAAUACCAAUGUACCAAUUAGCAAGCUUAAUUAUCCAAAAAUGUCAAAAAUGUCUAUCAUUUGAUGGUGUCCACUUCAGACUUUGUGGCACUGAAAAUCUCUCUUUAAACACUUAAUAUUAAGAAUAAAAAUAAAAUAAGUAAUGC